rnacentral:rRNA from 1 species
AGAACGAACGCUGGCGGCAGGCUUAACACAUGCAAGUCGAGCGCCCACUUCGGUGGGAGCGGCAGACGGGUGAGUAACGCGUGGGAAUCUACCCAUCUCUACGGAACAACUCCGGGAAACUGGAGCUAAUACCGUAUACGUCCCCUUUUAGAGAUAUUUGGGGAGAAAGAUUUAUCGGGGAUGGAUGAGCCCGCGUUGGAUUAGCUAGUUGGUGGGGUAAAGGCCUACCAAGGCGACGAUCCAUAGCUAGUCUGAGAGGAUGAUCAGCCACACUGGGACUGAGACACGGCCCAGACUCUACGGGAGGCAGCAGUGGGGAAUAUUGGACAAUGGGCGCAAGCCUGAUCCAGCCAUGCCGCGUGAGUGAUGAAGGCCCUAGGGUUGUAAAGCUACUUUCGCCGAUGAAGAUAAUGACGGUAGUCGGAGAAGAAGCCCCGGCUAACUUCGUAGCCAGCAGCCGCGGU